CCAGAAGCUAGAUGAAUGCAGGCUCUCAGGAGAGGAAUCUAGGCUGGGGAGUAUAGAUUUACCAGGCGUUUGUUUAAAGGGAGUAGAGGACAAUAUAAGAUAGCCAGUGCGUGCAGGUGUGGGUGAGGAGAGACAGACCCGGGAGACUCGAGUCAAGGAGGGAGGGCUUAGGAGGGGUGAGAAGGGUGACAGAAAGAAAGCAGAGCAUGAGUCCAAGGAGCCAAGGGAAGACAGCAUCACAGAAGAGCAAGUAACCACAGUGCAGAAAAACCAGUUACGUAAAGUUCUGAGCAAUGCCCAGCGCCUCUAUAAACAAGCAGGUCCUUGGUGACCGCGACCGGAGACCUGUGUGGGGUGCCAGGUUGCAGGAAAUCGAAGAAUGAGUGGAGAACGAGGAAAAAGACAGUGAGUGGAGGCAAAUCCCAUUAGAAGCUUGUCUGGGAAGAGGGAGAAGAGAAGUAAAUGUAUUCCAGUCCUCUGAGUUCACCACGGCCACAUUCCCACAUGUGCUCUUUUCUCUCAUUGGAAUGGCUGCUUCUGAUUCUGCCCAUUUCACCAGGCUGGAAACUCAGAGUCAUCCCUGAAGAUGGCCACAAGUCACCUCCUUUCUGAUGCCCUUUCCUCUCCACUUCCAGGGAAGAAGCAAGACAUGAAAGGAAGCUACUCCAGGCCUUCGUGGUCCAGGUACAUGACUGCAGGAGGUUGGAUACAUGGAGCUGAUGCUUCCAAACCUUUAAGCUCUGUCUGGUAGAAGUCAGAUAUGGACCUCAUGGGGCUAAAAGCAGAGCUGUAUUUGUUCCCUGAAGCUCCUAGGGGAAGACUCUGGGUGCUCAUCUGCUUCUACAGGACGCCUGUAUCCUUGGCUUGAGGUUCCCGGCUUCCCUCUUGAAAGCCAGCAAUGGUUUUUUGAGACAGAGUCUGGCUAUGUAUCUAGUUCAGGCUGGCUGGCCUUGAACUCACAGCGAUCCUCCUACCUCAGCCUCCCAUGUGCUGCGAUCACAGCCAUGUGCCAGCACAUUCAACAGCCUAAUAUUUAAUUUUCUCAUGGGUAAUAUGGAAAGAAAAAUACCAACCUUUCAGACUUAUUGUGAGGAUAAGAUAAUAUGUAUAGGGUCUAGAAAAGGGACAUUUUCAAAUUCCCCUCCCCAUUUCCCAUUUUCCUUCUCCCGUAAGGGAAGAGUGGCUUUGACCAGGCCAUUUUCCCCAGUGUUCAGGGCCAUGUGGGCUGUGCGUGAACCAUGUACCUGGUGUAGCUCCUCUGGGGCCUUCUGUCCAUCUCCAGCUACCAGUGCCUGCUGUCAGAGUUGGAGAGAGGGAACAGCCAGACUUGGUUCACCUUGGUUCAGCUGGCAUCCGUUCUGGGUAGGCCUGGUCCGGGCCAUCCUGCUGGGGUCCAGUGCUGUCCCCUUUCCCAUGCACUCACCCCUGAGUCUCUCCUCUCUGCAGUCCUCUGUGAUGGUCAGAGGGAGGUAAUGGCCACAGGCUGAGGCAGAACUCAGGCCUUCGUGGGGUUCUUGACUUAAUGUGCUCUAAUUGGGUUCCAAACCAACCCUAACCUUCCACAUUGUUGAUACGAUAUUUUGGUUAUCUAUUGCUGUUUAAUAAAAGCCACUCUUAAAAAUAUUUUUUAAAAAAGGUCUCAUGAUAACGUGGAUUGGCCAGUGACGUCCUGCCGGUCGGUUCCGCUGCUCUCAUCUGGCUGUGUCACUCCACUGUCGCCGGACAUCUUAACUCAUGUCUUACCCCUUCUCAGCGGUGUGUGGAGGCCAGGCUCUCAGGGAUGCUGGCAAGGCCAGGCCUCUUGCUCUUACCACAUGGCCCAGGGCACCUCCCUCUCUGCUUGAAUUUCUCCAAAAAUGGUGGCUCAGAGUAUGAACGUGGAAGCUUCCAGGCCUUUCUAAGACUUAGGCCUGGAACAGGCACAGCAUCUCUGCUGCCAUAUUCUGAUUCUUAAAAUAAGUCAUAUGAUGCCACAUGCCUGUCGUCCCAGCUACUUGGGAGACUGAGGCAGGAGGACCUAAGGAUUACUUUGGGUUCUUUUAAAUUUUUUAUUUUAUUUAUUUAUUUAUUUAAGAUCUCAGGUUUGAGGCCAGCCUGGGCAACUUAGUGAGAUCCUAUCUCAAAAAUAAUUAAAUAGCCAGGCAUGGUGGCACACAUCUGUAAUCUUAGCACUCGGGAGGCUGAGGCAGGAGGAUCACCGUGAAUUCGAGC
ensembl:lncRNA